rnacentral:rRNA from 1 species
CAUGGCUCACAACCAACGCUGGCGGCAUGCCUAAUACAUGCACCUCCAACGAGAUCUUCCGGUCUAGUGGCGCACGGGUGCGUACCGCGUGGGAAUCUGCCCUUGGGUUCGGAAUAACGUCAGGAAACUGACGCUAAUACCGGAUGAUGACUAAAGUCCAAAGAUUUAUCGCCCAGGGAUGAGCCCGCAUAGGAUUAGCUAGUUGGUGAGGUAAAGGCUCACCAAGGCUACCAUCCUUAGCUGGUCUGAUAGGAUGAUUAGCCUCACUGGGACUGAAACACGGCCCAAACUCCUACGGGAGGCAUCAGUAGGGAAUAUUGCACAAUGGGGGCAACCCUGAUCCAUCAAUGCCGCGUGAGUGAUGAAGGCCUUAGGGUUGUAAAGCUCUUUUACCCGAGAUGAUAAUGACAGUAUCGGGAGAAUAAGCUCCGGCUAACUCCGUGCCAGCAGCCGCGGUAAUACCGAGGGAGCUAGCGUUGUUCGGAAUUACUGGGCGUAAAGCGCACGUAGGCGGCGAUGUAAGUCAGAGGUGAAAGCCUGGGGCUCAAUCCCGGAACUGCCUUUGAGACUGGAUUGCUUGAAUCCUGGAGAGGUGAGUGGAAUUCCGAGUGCAGAGGUGAAAUUCUUAGAUAUUCGGAAGAUUACCAGUGGCGAAAGCGGCUCANUNGGACANGUNAUUGNCNCUGANGUGCGAANAGCGUGGGNNUNNNANACANGAGUANAUACCNUGGUANUCNNCGCUGUAACCGAUAUUAAACUAGCUGCCGGGGCACAUGUGUUUUGGUGGCGCCAGCUAACGCAUUAAGUUAUCCGCCUGGGGAGUACGGUUGCAAGAUUAAAACUCAAGGGAAUUGACGGGGGCCUGCACAAGCGGUGGAGCAUGUGGUAUAAUUAGAAGCUACGAGCAGAACCUUCCCAAUAUUUGACAUCCCUAUCGCGGAUAGGGGAGACACUUUCGUUCAGUUCGGAUGGAUAGGUGACAGCUGGUGCAUGGCGGUCGUCAGCUUGUGUCGUGAGAUGAUGGGUUAAGUCCCGCAACGAGCGCAACCCUCGCCUUUAGUUGCCAUCAUUUAGUUGGGUACUAUAAAGGAACCGCCGGCGAUAAUCCGUAGGAAGGUGGGGAUGACGUCAAGUCCUCAUGGCCCUUACUCGUUGGGCUACACACGUGCUACAAUGGCGAAUACAGUGGGCAGCCACCUCGCGAGAGGGAGCUAAUCUCCAAAAGUCGUCUCAGUUCGGAUCGUUCUCUGCAACUCGCGCCCGUGAAGGCGGAAUCGCUAGUAAUCGUGGAUCAGCACUCUUAGGUGAAUAUUUUCCCAGGCUUUGUACGCUCCGCCCGUCUUUCCAUGAGAGUCCCACCACUGGAAGGCGUUGAGCUAACGGCAAGGAGGCAGGCGACCAC